UACAGUCUCCUACAGCUCUAAAAAUUCAGUUCAUGACCCAGUUAUGGGAGGGAAAUGAAAGAUGUUGCAGUUUGCCCAACUCCACAGAGCAGGAAUGCAGCAGUAUUGAUACAGGUUCCUGGCUGUGAUCAGGCACCAUAUCAUGAGCAGUUAAUGUCAGGUCCAAAUCGUCAGCCGAAACAAGAGGAAGCCACUCUUUAAGGCCGGGAGGGUCUUUCACCGCCCCGCGGGCACCGGUGCUCGUUCACAGCAAGCGCUGCCAUCUGGUGGCAUCUGGGAGAAUGGCAGCCCCGACUUCAGCGGCACGUCAGGGAACGCUGGAAACCUGAGUCAGUUCAGCAAGUUUCUAGUGCAAAUCUGAUAUGGAUGGUUGACCUGAACUCCGGGGGACAAACUCUAAAGAUAGAAGAGGUGGACAGGGUUUCUGCAUGCGGAAAACUGGAUGCCAGAACUUGGAUAAUUCUCUUUCUGUCGGCAUAGCACCCAGCCUUGCAAGACGUGAUGUGGUCUCAAAUGCUGUUAGCGAAUCCGGGGGUCAAAACAACUCAAGCCUUGCACAAUAGGCCUUGCUCUCCUCGUUAAAUAGAAGUACAGAAUUUGUGAGCGCAGCUAUUGUCAUUCCCAUGUAUUUUCGUUGCUUGU